rnacentral:rRNA from 1 species
CCUACGGGUGGCAGCAGUGAGGAAUAUUGGUCAAUGGGCGAGAGCCUGAACCAGCCAAGUCGCGUGAGGGAAGACGGUCCUAUGGAUUGUAAACCUCUUUUGUCGGGGAGCAAAAAGGCCUCGUGAGGCCACAAGUGAGAGUACCCGAAGAAAAAGCAUCGGCUAACUCCGUGCCAGCAGCCGCGGUAAUACGGAGGAUGCGAGCGUUAUCCGGAAUGACUGGGCGUAAAGGGUGCGUAGGUGGUUUGGCAAGUUAGUAGCGUAACUCCAAGGCUCAACCUUGGAACUACUACUAAAACUGUUGGACUUGAGUGCAGGAGGGGCAACCGGAAUUCCUAGUGUAGCGGUGGAAUGCGUAGAUAUUAGGAGGAACACCAGUGGCGAAGGCGGGUUGCUAGACUGUAACUGACACUGAGGCACGAAAGCGUGGGGAGCAAACAGGAUUAGAUACCCUUGUAGUC